rnacentral:rRNA from 1 species
UGGGGAAUCUUCCGCAAUGGACGAAAGCCUGACGGAGCAACGCCGCGUGAACGAUGACGGCCUUCGGUUGUAAGUUCUGUUAUACGGGACGAAUGGCGCAACGGUCAAUACCCGUUGCGAGUGACGGUACCGUAAGAGAAAGCCACGGCUAACUACGUGCCAGCAGCCGCGGUAAUACGUAGGUGGCAAGCGUUGUCCGGAAUUAUUGGGCGUAAAGGGCGCGCAGGCGGCGUCGUAAGUCGGUCUUAAAAGUGCGGGGCUUAACCCCGUGAGGGGACCGAAACUGCGAUGCUAGAGUAUCGGAGAGGAAAGCGGAAUUCCUAGUGUAGCGGUGAAAUGCGUAGAUAUUAGGAGGAA